AUUAGCAGGGACACGUGUGAUCGUACGGUCUAGGAUUUGGAUAUAUUAAGAAAAAUGAAACCUUAAAAUCAGAACAUAUCUUCACUUGUCGCCUCUUCUUCUCUGCGAUUUUUCUUCCCUCUCUUCUUCUCUUCAAGGUCUGUUGAUGAAGAGCUUGAAGAACUGAUAGAAGUAAAGCGAACCCCGUUUAAUCGCAGAUAUCUGCUAAUUUGCCGCCUCUAUUUUAGCAGAGUUUUUUCUUCCCUCUCUUCUUUUGUUCAAGGUCUGUUGAUGAAGAACUUUUGAAGAAGUGAUUGAAGUAAGAAGUUCUACAAGAUGAGUGGUGAUGAUAGUGAUUCGAGCAAAAUGAGUCAACCUUGCUUGAACUAUGACAUUUUACGACAGGAUUGGUCAUAAUCCUCUGAAUUAUCAUAGUUGCUAGGUCCAUUGCUCCUACAUUCUCUGCAACUGAGGUCACCUCAAGUAGCAAGCACAAAGAUAGGGAUGUGAGAAUUCAGAAAGUGAAGAAGAGUCGGGAAAGGUGAUUCUCAUACAUACCUUUCAGUUUCAGAGAAAGAUGCUUCUCUCAGCAGCAGCUACCACUUCCUGCUACGAUAAGAAAAAUACUAACUCUUCACUUGUACUUGUAAAUUAGAGAGAAUCAACAAAUCACAAAAUAUUAAAACACAAUCAUAUAGAGCAACUCUGCAUCACCUGCUGGGACAAUCAUCAAUGAAAAUAUAUAUUAGAGUGAAUCAAAAACCCACAUAGCUGGGAAGAUAUACUAAUGUGAGAUCAUGUUUACUACACCUGCUCUUUGAUUGGAAGAGAUCGUCAUUCUCACAAUGAGGUCAGAACUAUCAAUAUAUGAAUGCAAAAUCAGAACUAUAAAAUAUAUUAAUUAUGCGAGAAGAAAUUAAGAGCCUCAGUAAUUAUUAUAACAUGAAGCUUUUAUCAUCACGCAUUUGGGCGCUCCAUCUGGUCAAGUGUUUCCUUUGUUAGUUCCACUUGUUUUCAGCUGGUUUUGUCGACCUCUUUCUUUUGGGCGCUCCAUCUGGUCAAGUGUUUACCCUUUGUAAGAAUUUCAUUUCCAGAAUUUUAGGUUUUCGAGGAAUUUUUAUUUAUAUUAAAUGUAAGUUUUUUUCUUUUUUAGGGAGAAAAAAAAUAAAAAAAUAAUAAUAGUAAUUAAUUAGAAGGUUUUCUUGUUUGUUCUAAUCCAG